rnacentral:rRNA from 1 species
UGUGAACCAUACCAAACUGUUGCCUCGGCGGGGUCACGCCCCGGGUGCGUCGCAGCCCCGGAACCAGGCGCCCGCCGGAGGGACCAACCAAACUCUUUCUGUAGUCCCCUCGCGGACGUUAUUUCUUACAGCUCUGAGCAAAAAUUCAAAAUGAAUCAAAACUUUCAACAACGGAUCUCUUGGUUCUGGCAUCGAUGAAGAACGCAGCGAAAUGCGAUAAGUAAUGUGAAUUGCAGAAUUCAGUGAAUCAUCGAAUCUUUGAACGCACAUUGCGCCCGCCAGUAUUCUGGCGGGCAUGCCUGUCCGAGCGUCAUUUCAACCCUCGAACCCCUCCGGGGGGUCGGCGUUGGGGAUCGGGAACCCCUAAGACGGGAUCCCGGCCCCGAAAUACAGUGGCGGUCUCGCCGCAGCCUCUCCUGCGCAGUAGUUUGCACAACUCGCACCGGGAGCGCGGCGCGUCCACGUCCGUAAAACACCCAACUUCUGAAAUGUUGACCUCGGAUCAGGUAGGAAUACCCGCUGAACUUAAGCAUAUCAAU